rnacentral:rRNA from 1 species
AGUGGAUGGGGAGCAACCUAGUUGUGCGUGCGUAAAGGUAGUGCCAAGAAAAGCGGUGAUCAUGAUGAAAAUCAAUUCCCGGUACCCGAAACCGACACAGGUGGGCAAGUAGAGAAUACUAAGGGGCGCGAGGUAACUCUCUCCAAGGAACUCGGCAAAAUGACCCCGUAACUUAGGGAGAAGGGGUGCCACCGAGAGGUGGUCGCAGUGAAGAGGCCCAGGCGACUGUUUAGCAAAAACAUAGGUCUCUGCAAACUCGAAAGAGGAGGUAUAGGGGCUGACGCCUGCCCAGUGCCGGAAGGUUAAAGAAGUUGGUCAGUCUUAGGAUGAAGCUAGCGACUGAAGCCCCGGUGAACGGCGGCCGUAACUAUAACGGUCCUAAGGUAGCGAAAUUCCUUGUCGGGUAAGUUCCGACCCGCACGAAAGGCGUAACGAUCUGGGCGCUGUCUCGGAGAGAGGCUCGGCGAAAUAGGAUUGUCUGUGAAGAUACGGACUACCUGCAUUUGGACAGAAAGACCCUAUGAAGCUUUACUAUAGCUUGGAAUUGUGUUCGGGCUUCCUGUGCGCAGGAUAGGUGGGAGGCGUAGAAGGUAUUCAUGUGGGGAUACUGGAGCCAACGGUGAGAUACCACUCUCAGGAGGCUAGAAUUCUAACUUAAUUAAGGACAGUUUCAGGUGGGUAGUUUGACUGGGGCGGUCGCCUCCAAAAAGGUAACGGAGGCGUACAAAGGUUCCCUCAGACUGGUUGGAAAUCAGUCGAAGAGUGCAAAGGCAGAAGGGAGCUUGACUGCGAGAAGUACAGUUCGAGCAGGGUGGAAACACGGUCUUAGUGAUCCGACGGUGCUGUGUGGAAGGGCCGUCGUUCAACGGAUAAAAGUUACUCUAGGAUAACAGGCUGAUCUCCCCCAAGAGUUCACAUCGACGGGGAGGUUUGGCACCUCGAUGUCGGCUCAUCGCAACCUGGGGCGGAAGUACGUCCCAAGGGUUGGGCUGUUCGCCCAUUAAAGCGGUACGUGAGCUGGGUUCAGAACGUCGUGAGACAGUUCGGUCCAUAUCCGAUGUAGGCGUGAGAAUAUUGAGAGGAGCCUUCCUUAGUACGAGAGGACCGGGAAGGACGCACCGCUGGUGUACCUGUUAUGAUGCCAAUUGUAAACGCAGGGUAGCCAAGUGCGGAGAGGAUAACCGCUGAAAGCAUCUAAGUGGGAAGCCCACCUCAAGAUGAGUAUUCUGGUGUAAGGUCACGGGAAGACGACCCGUAAAUAGGCACGAGGUGGAAGUGCAGAGAUGUAUGAAGCCGAAGUGUACUAAUAGACCGUCGGC